GUAACGUCGAACGAGAAACAUCGUUUCGUACUUAUUCCUAAAUAUACGACUGACGUACAGCACGUAAUCCUCACAGGAGAAACAAUUGGUUAAAGGGAGAAAGGAAAAAAAAAUGGUAAUUACCCCUCUGGCUGUGGACACGAAGGAAGGCAUAAACGAUGUUAAAAAGAGUAGAGAUACAACAACGAUUGAUAUUAUCUGUCUCAUAUAUUUUUUAACAUAAUCGGUUACCUACAUAUUUACAUAAAGAAAACCAUCAUCGUUUUCGAAGUUGCACGCGUACUACAUAAUAUUAUCACACAGGCGACAACAACGCGGUCGAGCGACUACAGGACAGGUGGAGCAGGGGACGUACGGAUGGGAAGGAGGAUGAGAAGGAGGAAGGGAUAGACGAGGGUAGAAGAGGCUGAGAAGGGUAACCAGAAUCUCUCUCUUUUCCUCUUUCUCUCCCUCUCCAUCACUCGUGGUUAUAUAUCAGGAGCGUCGCGUUAUUGGCCCCUGAGGCGCCACCGCGCUUUGUUGGAUUGCUCACGACGCGCUGGAUAAACCGAGGACGAAGAACCGUUGACUUUUAUAGGAUA